AUUCUAAAUUAGUUGAAUCGCUGUUUUCUUACCAGUAUGAAAGGCUAUUAUAGAAAGAAUUUCAGAUAGGAACAUCUAUGGAGUGAACAAACUGAAUCUAUAAUGAAAAUCUGGAGGAAAAUAUACUUAGGAAUUAUCUUCUUUGGGACAUUAUGUUGAUCGAAGACUGGGAAACAUCAGAAAAUAUAGCCAUGCUGGAGUGGAUGCAGAAGAUGGACAGUAUCAGUGUUUUCAGAUGAUGCAUUCUUCAAGACUGGAGCUUCAAGACUGUAAAACCACAUCAUCUUCCUUUUACAACCCUAAGCCUCUCCAACAGCACUCAGCAGACUGUCUUCCCUGGAGAAUGCCAAACACCAGCAGAACUGCCCACAGGAUUGCGGCCAAAGCAGGAGUGCAAGUGAAUUUACUGAUCCCAGCACCUUAUGUAUGGUUGAAAAAUGAAUUUGACUAAUCCCUCCCUGGCUCUUUGCCUUUCCCUUGCACUGCCUCUGUGCAACAACUUUCCUCCUCUGCCCAGAAAGAUGUUUCAUUCAAAGUGACAAGUCCAAAUGAAGAAAUGGUGCAUUCUGGAAGCAAAGAUCUUGAAAAAGAAUUUUAUGACUACUUCCCUCUGGGUUUUGCUUAGAGAGUCUAAGCAGUGAAUCAGUGACAUGAGAAGACCUAGUUCAAGAGGAAGGAGGGUCCGUCUUUCCUUCCUUCCUUCCUUCCUUCCUUCCUUCCUUCCUUCCUUCCUUCCUUCCUUCCUUCCUUCUUUCCUUCCUUCCUGGGAAUCUGGAAACUUAAGUUUUCCAAAAGAGAAGAGAGAAGAAAGACGGAAUGUGACAUUUCUCUGAUAGCUGGAACAUCUUAUUUUACAUCUGUUUCCUUUACAAGGAAGCCCAAGGAGCAAUGAACUCACCAGGAAUAGUAAAGCAUGUGCUUUCUUUUUCGAUUUAAACAGAAACAGUGUAGUUGAACUUGCAAAGACCACGUAACCAGUAAUUUCUCAUUAAAAAAUACAAUUGGGAAAUAUUUUAAGCAUCUUUGUGAGAAAGAUCACAUCUGUGUUAA